rnacentral:rRNA from 1 species
AAGAACCUUACCAGGUCUUGACAUCCUCUGACAAUCUGAGAGAUCUAGACUUCCUUCGGGGACAGAGAGACAGGUGGUGCAUGGUUGUCGUCAGCUCGUGUCGUGAGAUGUUGGGUUAAGUCCCGCAACGAGCGCAACCCCUAUUGUUAGUUUGCCAUCAUUCAGUUGGGCAUCUAGCGAGACUGCCGGUAAUAAACCGGAGAAGGUGGGGAUGACGUCAAAUCAUCAUGCCCCUUAUGACCUGGGCUACACACGUGCUACAACGGUUGGUACAACGAGUUGCGAGUCGGUGACGGCGAGCUAAUCUCUUAAAGCCAAUCUCAGUUCGGAUUGUAGGCUGCAACUCGCCUACAUGAAGUCGGAAUCGCUAGUAAUCGCGGAUCAGCACGCCCGCGGUCGAAUACGUUCCCGGGCCUU